rnacentral:rRNA from 1 species
GAAGCGCAGUAAUGUGUGAAGCUAACUUGUACUAAUUGGCUGAUUGUCUUGACCAUAUAAUCUGAGUGACUUCAGAA